GACGAACGCUGGCGGCGUGCUUAACACAUGCAAGUCGAACGGAAAGGCCCUGCCUUUGUGGGGUGCUCGAGUGGCGAACGGGUGAGUAACACGUGAGUAACCUGCCCUUGACUUUGGGAUAACUUCAGGAAACUGGGGCUAAUACCGGAUAGGAGCUCCUGCUGCAUGGUGGGGGUAGGAAAGUUUCGGCGGUUGGGGAUGGACUCGCGGCUUAUCAGCUUGUUGGUGGGGUAGUGGCUAACCAAGGCUUUGACGGGUAGCCGGCCUGAGAGGGUGACCGGCCACAUUGGGACUGGGAUACGGCCCAGACUCCUACGGGAGGCAGCAGUGGGGAAUAUUGCACAAUGGGCGGAAGCCUGAGGCAGCAACGCCGCGUGCGGGAUGACGGCCUUCGGGUUGUAAACCGCUUUCGCAUGUGACGAGGCGUGAGUGACGGUAAUGGGUAAAGAAGCACCGGCUAACUACGUG
rnacentral:rRNA from 1 species